UGGCCGAGCCAUACUCAGGUCUAGAUAUCUGUUUUGUUGGAUGCACUUGAUGUUGUCAUGUUAAUGGUUGGACCUAACCAAAAUUUUUAGUGGAGGCACCACAUGCCUGCUGAAGAGAUGCCUGAGGCAAAAUCUGAUUGCUAGAAAUUAUUUGAAGAAAUAAUUAGUUAUGAACCUACCCAUAGAUGCACUAGGGUUGGCUGAGCUACACUCGGGCC
rnacentral:lncRNA from 1 species